UCUAUCGCGGUUAUACUAUUU
ensembl:piRNA 21ur-4533 ncRNA